rnacentral:misc_RNA from 1 species
UUUUUUUAGCAGCUUAAUGCUUAGAGUAUCAUGAAAUGAAUGUUGAUGAUGUUCAGAUAGUUUACAGUUAUUCCCUUCCAACUAUAAAUUACAUCACUCUAUGAACUCCUGGACCUGAAAGAAGGAAGAAAAUUGAAGGGAAAAAUGAUUCCUGAAUUCCCUAGCAUCUAUCCAAUACAUAAUAAACUACAACUCAUACCUCAACAACAUGAGGUUUACCAGCUUCAUCAGGCAAGCUAUCUAAGCUAAAAAGAAUGAAGCCAAACCAAUAUUAAUCUACAGCUCAACCUUAACGACAUGAAGUUUACCUUCAUCAGGCAAGCUAUCCAAGCAAAAAGUAAACAAACCAGCAGAUGAAUCAUACAUAAAAUCAACCACGUUUGAGUCCACAAUGCACUUC